rnacentral:rRNA from 1 species
UACGUAGGGAGCGAGCGUUAUCCGGAAUUAUUGGGUGUAAAGGGUGCGUAGACGGGAAUACAAGUUAGUUGUGAAAUCCCUCGGCUUAACUGAGGAACUGCAACUAAAACUAUAUUUCUUGAGUGCAGGAGAGGUAAGUGGGAUUCCUAGUGUAGCGGUGAAAUGCGUAGAGAUUAGGAAGAACACCAGUGGCGAAGGCGAUUCUCUGGACUGUAACUGACGCUGAGGCUCGAAAGCGUGGGGAGCAAACAGG